rnacentral:rRNA from 1 species
GAUGAACGCUAGCUACAGGCUUAACACAUGCAAGUCGAGGGGCAGCAUGUCGGUUGCUUGCAACCGAUGAUGGCGACCGGCGCACGGGUGAGUAACGCGUAUCCAACCUACCCUUGUCCAUCGGAUAACCCGUCGAAAGGCGGCCUAACACGCUAUGCGGUUCACAGCAGGCAUCUAACGUGAACGAACUGUGAAGGAGAAGGAUGGGGAUGCGUCUGAUUAGCUUGUUGGCGGGGUAACGGCCCACCAAGGCUACGAUCAGUAGGGGUUCUGAGAGGAAGGUCCCCCACAUUGGAACUGAGACACGGUCCAAACUCCUACGGGAGGCAGCAGUGAGGAAUAUUGGUCAAUGGACGAGAGUCUGAACCAGCCAAGUAGCGUGCAGGAUGACGGCCCUAUGGGUUGUAAACUGCUUUUAUAGGGGGAUAAAGUGUGCCACGUGUGGCAUAUUGCAGGUACCCUAUGAAUAAAGACCGGCUAAUUCCGUGCCAGCCGCCGCGGUAACAC